rfam:Nomascus leucogenys chromosome 9, whole genome shotgun sequence.
GCCAGGCGUGGUGUCACAUGUCUGUAGUCCCAACUACUCAGGAGGCUGAGGUGGGAGGAUCGUUUUGAGUCCAGGAGUUCUGGGCUGUAGUGUGCUAUGCCUGUGGGUGUCCACACUAAGUUUGGCAUCAAUAUGGUGACCUCCUAGGAGCAGGGGACCACCAGGUUGCCUAAGAAGGGGUGAACCGACCCAGGUUGGAAACAGGGCAGGUCAAAAUCCCGGUGCUGAUGAGUAGCAGGAUCUAGCCUGUGAACAGCUACUGCGCUCCAGCCUGGGCAAUAUAGUGAGACCCAUCUCUA